UCUAAAAGUUUACUCAGUGCCUAUUCACUGCUUUUUUUAAUACAGAUUCAAAUAGAGAUAAAUAAUAUUCGCAUGUAUUAUUUAAUAAAAGUCGACAUCAUGGAAGUACAUCAACACCGAAAAUACUAAAACGGAAAAAUAGAUCCACUAUCGAGCUCAGUUUUAACUGUACCGAAAAAAAAACAGAGCGCUCAAAGAAAAGUUGGUCCGAGUCGUCAAAUGAGUAGGUACGGUAUAUUUCAAGAUAAGCACAACAAGUCAUGUAUUUGUUUAUUUUAUUGAACGAAUUUUAUUUUUUUACUGUUUUUUUUUCGUUGUUCCCAAACACGUUUAAUUAAACUCGUAAGUAACAUUAAGUAUGA